GCCUGGGUGGCGGAAGUGGUAGACGCAAGGGACUUAAAAUCCCUCGGUGCUUAGCGCCGUACCGGUUCGAUUCCGGUCCCAGGCACCA
rnacentral:tRNA from 1 species